rnacentral:rRNA from 1 species
UACAGAGGUCUCAACCGUUGUUCGGAUUCAUUGGGCGUAAAGGGUGCGUAGGCGGUCGUGCAAGUCGGAUGUGAAAUCUCAGGGCUCAACCCUGAAACUGCAUUCGAUACUGCGCGGCUAGAGUGCUGGAGGGGAGACUGGAAUUUACGGUGUAGCAGUGAAAUGCGUAGAUAUCGUAAGGAAGACCAGUGGCGAAGGCGAGUCUCUGGGACGGUACUGACGCUGAGACGCGAAAGCGUGGGGAGCGAACAGG